GGAGUGAAAUAGAUCCUGAAACCGCAUGCAUACAAGCAGUGGGAGCCGACUUGUUCGGUGACUGCGUACCUUUUGUAUAAUGGGUCAGCGACUUAUUUUCAGUGGCGAGCUUAACCGAAUAGGGGAGGCGUAGCGAAAGCGAGUCUUAAUAGGGCGUCUAGUCGCUGGGAAUAGACCCGAAACCGGGCGAUCUAUCCAUGGGCAGGUUGAAGGUUGGGUAACACUAACUGGAGGACCGAACCGAC
rnacentral:rRNA from 1 species